GACGAACGCUGGCGGCGUGCUUAACACAUGCAAGUCGAACGAUGAAGCUGGAGCUUGCUCUAGCGGAUUAGUGGCGAACGGGUGAGUAACACGUGAGCAAUCUGCCCUUGACUCUGGGAUAACUGCGGGAAACUGUAGCUAAUACCGGAUACUUUCACCGGGGGCCAUCCUCUGGUGAUGAAAGAAUUUCGGUCAAGGAUGAGCUCGCGGCCUAUCAGCUUGUUGGUGAGGUAACGGGUCACCAAGGCGACGACGGGUAACCGGCCGGAGAGGGUGACCGGUCACACUGGGACUGAGACACGGCCCAGACUCCUACGGGAGGCAGCAGUGGGGAAUAUUGCACAAUGGGCGCAAGCCUGAUGCAGCAACGCCGCGUGAGGAUGAAGGCCUUCGGGUUGUAAACCUCUUUUAGCAGGGAAGAAGCGAAAGUGACGGUACCUGCAGAAAAAGCACCGGCUAACUACGUGCCAGCAGCCGCAGUAA
rnacentral:rRNA from 1 species